UAAAAGUAUCCCCUUCCAACAUGAAUGUAAUACUGUUGUACAUAGUGAUUAGCAUGAGGAAAAAACGAAUCUCACAAGCACACAAUUGUAACAUUUUUUUGUUGUAAAAUUUGUUUGCUUUGUUACCAUACAUUUCCUAAUGCUGCAUUCAUAGACUUCAUAGAGAACUGGAAAUGGACAACCGUACAUCCUUUUGCUCUAUAUGUUGCCUUAAUGUUAAUAUUUCUACAUUUUUGUUGUGUAACAUAGAUUUGUGUAUUUAUAUUUAUUUGUCAAUCACUUUGCCUCGAUGAGAUUAACUAAAAAUUGUUGUUAAUUAAAUUAAAUUUUUGUGUUAAGCCUGGGU